rnacentral:rRNA from 1 species
UACGGAGGGUGCAAGCGUUAAUCGGAAUUACUGGGCUUAAAGAGUUCGUAGGCGGCAUUGCAAGUAGGGUGUGAAAGCCCUCGGCUCAACCGAGGAAUUGCGCUCUAAACUGCAGUGCUUGAGGAACCUAGAGGUGAGCAGAACAGAUGGUGGAGCGGUGAAAUGCGUUGAUAUCAUCUGGAAUACCGGAGGCGAAGGCGGCUCACUGGGAGUUUUCUGACGCUGAGGAACGAAAGCCAGGGUAGCGAACGGG